ACACAUGCAAGUCGAGGGGCAGCGGGAUUGAAGCUUGCUUCAAUUGCCGGCGACCGGCGCACGGGUGAGUAACGCGUAUCCAACCUUCCGCUUACUCGGGGAUAGCCUUUCGAAAGAAAGAUUAAUACCCGAUGGUAUCUUAAGCACGCAUGAGAUUAAGAUUAAAGAUUUAUCGGUAAGCGAUGGGGAUGCGUUCCAUUAGGCAGUUGGCGGGGUAACGGCCCACCAAACCUACGAUGGAUAGGGGUUCUGAGAGGAAGGUCCCCCACAUUGGAACUGAGACACGGUCCAAACUCCUACGGGAGGCAGCAGUGAGGAAUAUUGGUCAAUGGGCGAGGGCCUGAACCAGCCAAGUAGCGUGAAGGAUGACGGCCCUACGGGUUGUAAACUUCUUUUGUGCGGGAAUAAAGGAACCUACGUGUAGGUUUUUGCAUGUACCGUAACGAAUAAGCAUCGGCUAACUCCGUGCCAGCAGCCGCGGUAAUACGGAGGAUGCGAGCGUUAUCCGGAUUUAUUGGGUUUAAAGGGAGCGUAGACGGGUUUUUAAGUCAGCUGUGAAAGUUUGGGGCUCAACCUUAAAAUUGCAGUUGAAACUGGAGACCUUGAGUACGGUUGAGGCAGGCGGAAUUCGUGGUGUAGCGGUGAAAUGCUUAGAUAUCACGAAGAACCCCGAUUGCGAAGGCAGCCUGCUAAGCCGCCACUGACGUUGAGGCUCGAAAGUGCGGGUAUCAAACAGGAUUAGAUACCCUGGUAGUCCGCACGGUAAACGAUGGAUACUCGCUGUU
rnacentral:rRNA from 1 species